CGGAAGUGAAGUAUCCAGAGGAAAACACGAAAACACCACUCGAUAUGCGAGAUGGAUGCAGACUUGUGUACAGCAGCCGAUGUGUGUGUGACUGUAGAGUUUUAACACCUGUAGCCACGGCAUGGAGCGUGUCACGUUAUAACACUGCAUGUGUCAACUUCAUGUGUCAACUUCAUGUUGUACCGUUAUUAACCAGCAUGUAGAAUGUCUGUGACACACAUCCUCUUUUGUGAUUCAUUAAGAUACAAUAUAUAGUUGUCAUGGAGACCCAAGGCUUUCAUGGACAGCCUCGAAAAGUUCUCAAACAAAUGUCCAUAAGACGACAGGACUUGGAACGGUCGUCGCAGAAGCUUACCAGUAAUCUGGCACAGUUACAGCGAGUCAACAUGGAACAGGAACAGAGGAUUGACACAACACUGUCAGAACUACAGCAACAGCAGAAACGCACAGAAGAAUUACUGCAUUCUGAUUGGUCGAAUACUAGCUCCGGUCAAGGAGAUCAGAGAAGAUCCUCUGGGUCACAGAGCACAGUCCAGCGUGAGCAAUCAUUCACAAGACAGUUGAAGCAGUGGGGUACAUCCGAUGUUAUUCGGUGGCUAGAAAAUAGGAAACUCCACAAAUUUAUCCUCCUCUUCCAAAGACACCAUGUGGCAGGGAUAGAGCUAGCAGAUCUACAGCUUCCCUUCCUCGAGGGUUAUGACCACAUCAGUAUUGAGGACAGAGAGCUGCUCCUGGCAGAGGUUUACGAGUUACUGAGGCUGGAACAGAACACCGAUGAGGAUGACACCCAUCGCCUCCAGACUGCGGUUGAGCACCAGAAAUACCAAGCAGCCAUUACUCUCGCCAAAGACAAGUCCAGUGCCUUCCAUCGCUCACAGAGUGUACCAGUUGUCCUGGCCUCUGGUCACUCUUCUGUUUUACCAUCAUCUCCAUCAUCAACAACAUCAUCGCCCACACCAAAGCUGCGUAAAAAGUCUGAAUCUGAUGUCCGAGAGUUAAAGUCAGGGGAGGGAGUUGUUACGUUACGCAGACAGAAGGUUCUCAGAGACCCGGAAAGAUCUCCACGAGGUGACACUUUCGUACGUCAAAAUUCUCCUGGUGGAGAUUCACAGUCAAGCACAGGGUCAUUGAAGUCUAGUGGAGGUGGUACACUGAACAAACCUGUGAGGAAGAAGUUACACCAGAAGACUCCUGAUAAACGCUCAUUGUACGGCUUCAUUGAUGGAAAGACUGCACAGGAAGUCUGCUGUGUCCAUCUACGAAAGACCAAUGGUCAGUUUGGGAUGACCUUCCAACUGGACAACAAAGGUCAGUUGAUCAUCGGGUCAGUGGAGGAAAGUCUACAGAGUCGCAGUGUGAAGGCAGGAGACAGGAUUCUGGAGAUGAAUGGUCAUUUGUUGUUUCCAAUGUCAACAAGUGAUGUCCAGCGAUUGGUGGAAGGAGUGACCAGUCAGUGUGAGGAGAUAGAGUUGGUCAUCUGGUGUGACCCUGCUGUCAGGAGAAUGGAAUUGAGAAGCAGUGGAGAGUUCGCAGACAAGCGCUGGUGGGGCUUAAGGAAAGUGUUGACAGACAUGCAAGUACAGGAUAUGGACCCCGACCAAAUUAUCAGCGGUGUGCCACAGAAGGACAUAACAGACCUCAAGGACAGGUGCACACUACAGGAUGAGCUGGUUGAACUGAAAGACCUGGUUAAGGAUCAGCAGAGUGUGAUUGAGGGUCUACAGAAGGAACUCACAGCCAAAGAAGAGUGCAUCUGGGAAUUAAGGCGUCAGAAGGAUGCUGCACUGAAAGCUGCUACAGACCUCCACACACAGUCCAGGAAGGGUGUGUCUAUACAAGGAGAGGCACAGUAUUACAAAAUGACAAUGGACAGUCUCAAGGUCGAAGGUGUUUCCAAGGAAAAAUUGAUGACUGCACUGAAGGAAAUUGUAAAAGAAGCUAGUCGUCAAAAGGUGUACCUAGACCGUCUUAUAUCUGUGGUGAUUGAGGAAUCGCCAUGGAUACUGGAGCAGAUUGACGCAGACUUCGAUGAAAUGGUGCCGGACACCACAGGAGAAUACUGUUGAUCAUUGAAAACUGUUGUCGAUGCUACUUUGUUGGUGCUAUGAUGAAAAGUGUUCGCAAAAUUUCAUUGAAUAUAAAUUUCUAUAUUCGUAUUAACAGACCAAAAAUUAAUCUAAAUAUUCAAAAUUUAUGUUAAAAGAUGAUAGGUAAUAGUGAUGGUUUUUAGUUACCGGAAGUUGUAUGUUAGGUGAUAUGUUUAAUUUUGUAUGUAUAAAAAGUUGACAUUUAUGAAAAAAUAUAUACAUUGUUCAAGAUUGGUUCAUGGUGGACACUUAUGAAGUUUCUAUACAAAUUUCUACAUUAUUUACUGGUUGUACAGAACAAGAGUGGUCCAAACAAUUAUGUUCUAUCAAUAGUUCCACCAUGUUGCCACUGUUAUGUGAUUUUAUUUUGUAAAACUAAGCAUUACAAGUUCUCACUACAUCCUAGGUACUGCAAUCAUUGGUGCAAUAUCCGUGUGUUCGUGUCAUACAUUAUACGUUGUUUGCCAUAACCCUUCGGGGAACUCCUCAUCGAUUAACCAUUCCUAUUUAUAUACCGGUAUAGUGUUUGACAUCUCAGUUUGAAAUAUAGUGAAAUAUGUAUAUGUAGUAGAAACCUCAUAGGGCUGUUCAAGAAAUGAAUAUAUUCAUAGGGCAGGGAGACACCUUUUUGUGACCUCCACAACUGACAAUCAUUAUUUUCUGUGGUCCUCAAUACAGCUGCUAUAAUAUGUAGGGACCUAGAACGAAGUUAUCCAGAUGUAGGGGUGUUGUGAAUAUAUAACAGGAAGAAAUAGCUUAAGAUGGGAACCCAAUGUUCUAGUUAAAGCAGUUACUGUAAAAUCACUAAUUUUCAUGGGGAUUUUAAUUACAAAAUUUGUAUGUCCACAAACCAAUUUCAGGUUUGAGUGGUAUACUGCCAGCUUUCAUGGGCAAUCGGAAAAUUCAUGCACACAUGGAAUGGGGUUUUGGGAAAACCAUGAAAUUCAAGCCCCACAAAAAUGUGUGAUUUAACAGUAUUUGACUUGUGAAUAAUGAAUUAAGUAUCCACCUUUUGUCAAAAUUCUUGCCCCUCUAUUGCUUACGUCUAUGAAUCAUCCCAGGAAAAGUUCAAAACGUAAAUUAACAGCUUCUUAAACACUGUGUCCGAUUAUCAUUUCCCUCCUACAUAUAUCUCACGGUACUAGUCAUAGAUGGGGGGUUUUACUGGUGCAUGUUGUGUUGGGUGUUAUUGUGUUUUCCUGAGAUGACUUUGCCAGUAUUUGAAAUGAGGCAUGAAUGAUGAUAAUUGGUGGUGUAGUGUUUGGUUUACCAUCUCUGAGAAACCAAAUGUAGUGGAAGAAACUACAGACCUAAUUAUGAUUAAAGUUAGUCCUUUAAUUUUCAUAAUCAUUAUGCAAGGUUUUAUCUAAUAUCUUUUCCAUAAGGAUUGAAGUUUUUGAACUACUCCAGUUUUUUUUGACUGAUGACAGACUGUUAACGUUUUUUUAUGUUUAUUAAAUGUUGAAGCUAGGGGAGUCGGUACAAAAAGUUCAUGACCAUAAUGUUGUGAGAUGUUUCCUGUAUGUUUUAAUUUUCUAAGUAGUCUUUAUCAAAUCCCUAGCCAUAUUAAUGUGAGGGUGUGCUGCUGAGGUUGUGAGAUGUCUAUGAGUGUCUUAAGAGAGAUUCUUACUGUUGUUGUGAGGUGUUUGCUGUACAUGUGUGUUUCAAAUAUCCAAGUGGUCCACCAUGUUUACAUCCAUUAAUGAACAUUGAGGUAUCACAACAGUUACAUCUGAUGUUUAUAUAUGGUGGUGUAUCACCAUGGUUACAUUUGAUGUUUAUAUAUGGUGGUGUAUCACCAUGGUUACAUCUGAUGUUUAUAUAUGAUGGUGUAUCACCAUGGUUACGUCUGAUAUUGAUGUAGGUAUAUCUAUCACCAUGGUUACAUCUGAUAUUGAUGUAGGUAUAUCCAUCACCAUGGUUACAUCUUAUGUUUAUAUAUGAUGGUGUAUUACCAUGGUUACAUCUAUUACAAAUGAUAACUGUUCUUAAAUGUAUGUUCCUGAAAUAAUAAAGUUCAACAUCAUUUAGAUGAGAAGUGCAUCAGGAGACUGGUAAAGUUGUAUUGAGUUGUGUUAUAGUAUUUAUAAGAUUAUAAGAUCUGUUACUGUGGAUUUCAUUAGUUUAACAUGUUUAUUUUGAAGGUGUAAUGUACAGUCUUUGUUUUUGUUAUUUUGUUUAAGUUUAGUUAUUUUAUUACCACAACGUUCAGGCCACUUGAGUUAAGAGUAUUUAGUUUUAUUAUAGAUAUAUAAAUUAUAUAAUGUUCAUUACUCAGUAUUAAUUAUUUAAAACAUUAAGGAGAAGAUAAUUUUAUUAAGUUGUGUGUAAUCAAUUGUUGACACGUAAGCAUGUUCUUCUAAGUAAAUCUAAAAUGAUAUAUAUUUGUAUCCCAUGUUGAUGAAUGAGAGUGUAUUAUUAAAUUUUUCCGAUUUAAAUUGAUUAAUUACUGGUAAUUAAUAUGAUAAGGAAAUAUGAUUUUCAAAUAUAACUUGAUUAAUUAAAUAAUUUAUAGUAUUUAACAUUAAAGAUAAUGUCAAUGAGAGAAUAAACUGGUCCUCACAUAAGAACAGUUGACAUGUCACAUGCUCCAGAACUUGCAGCCAACCUUGGCAGGUUAAACAAGUUAGAUGAAAGUAAACAUGCACUUCAAAGAGCAACUAACACUAUUAUAUUGGGAGUGGUAUUUCUAAUCUAGUCGUAUGUCGUUUUAACCCAGGUAUCAAUUAAUCUGUAUCUUGUAUAUCAUUAUUCUCAUUCCAGUUUAUAAAUCUGAGUGAAGAAUGAGAUAUAUUUUAGGUAGAUGGUAUAUAAUGUAAAAACGUUUCAAACCCUAUAUCUUCAUUGGGUGUAAAGUUGUUGGAUCUUGACUCAGUAACUCAGAAAAGACCCAGUAAGCCCUAACAAUUACAGUAUGAGAGUUAGGAAAAACCAAUAUUAAGCUGGUUAUAUAACUUUAAGAUUUAUACACUUGUUUAACCUAUAUAAACCACAUACUUAAUGAACCAAGAUUUUUAAUAUGCAAGUGUUGGAUUAUACAGGUUCAGGUCACAAUGAAUAAAGUGAAACUUUGUUGCCGGUCUGAUUUCUACAGUCUUCAAUAAGAUUCAUCAGUUUGGAAAUAUGUGAUAACAAAGUACGGUUAAUACAUACAUUGUUUGUGUAAAAAGUAAAACUUGGAUAUCUGAUUUCUACAGGUUUCUAAAUUGAUAAGGUCAUAUCUGUACUGGGUAUGCUGUAUAUAGUCAGUGUCGUCUAAAUAAAGGGCUGGAAAUAGCAGUCAGUCCAUGUUCCAUUACUUUUCAGCAGCUCUGGUAAAUUUUGAACUUGUAUAUGUGAACAGAUAAAUUUUCAAACUGUUACUGGCUUGAAUUCUUUUUAUUUUUCUAAACCUACAAACAUGUGUUCAACUGACUGUAUUGUAAUAAUUUUAUUUUGCAAACAAGUUCAUUUUUAUGUACAUAAAAAAAUUGUUAUUUGAUAUAAAUAUAAAUAUACAUAUACAGCUAAAAUUACAUUAUAUAUACAUAUACCUUGUAUACUGUAGUAUUUACAAUGUUAGUAACACGAUGUUAUGACUAUAAUAAAUACAAGAACUAUU
rnacentral:misc_RNA from 1 species